rfam:Ictidomys tridecemlineatus contig057618, whole genome shotgun sequence.
GGGUUUGUAGCUCAGUAGUAGAGCACUCGCCUAGCAUGUGUGAGGCACUGGGUUCGAUUCUCAGCACCA